AGAGUUUGAUCCUGGCUCAGGACGAACGCUGGCGGCGUGCCUAACACAUGCAAGUCGAGCGGAGAUAGUCUGAUGGUAACUGAUGACUAUCUUAGCGGCGGACGGGUGAGUAACACGUGGGUAACCUGCCUCAAAGAGGGGGAUAGCCUUCCGAAAGGAAGAUUAAUACCGCAUAACCCAUUGUUUCCGCAUGGGGAUGAUGGUAAAGAUUUAUCGCUUUGAGAUGGACCCGCGGCGCAUUAGCUAGUUGGUGAGGUAAUGGCUCACCAAGGCGACGAUGCGUAGCCGACCUGAGAGGGUGAUCGGCCACAUUGGAACUGAGACACGGUCCAGACUCCUACGGGAGGCAGCAGUGGGGAAUAUUGCACAAUGGGCGCAAGCCUGAUGCAGCAACGCCGCGUGAGUGAUGAAGGUCUUCGGAUUGUAAAGCUCUGUCUUUUGGGACGAUAAUGACGGUACCAAAGGAGGAAGCCACGGCUAACUACGUGCCAGCAGCCGCGGUAAUACGUAGGUGGCAAGCGUUGUCCGGAUUUACUGGGCGUAAAGGGUGCGUAGGUGGAUAUUUAAGUCAGAUGUGAAACCCCUGGGCUCAACUCAGGGACUGCAUUUGAAACUGGAUAUCUGGAGUGCAGGAGAGGUAAGUGGAAUUCCUAGUGUAGCGGUGAAAUGCGUAGAGAUUAGGAAGAACACCAGUGGCGAAGGCGACUUACUGGACUGUAACUGACACUGAGGCACGAAAGCGUGGGUAGCAAACAGGAUUAGAUACCCUGGUAGUCCACGCCGUAAACGAUGAGUACUAGGUGUAGGGGGUAUCGACUCCCUCUGUGCCGCAGUUAACACAAUAAGUACUCCGCCUGGGAAGUACGAUCGCAAGAUUAAAACUCAAAGGAAUUGACGG
rnacentral:rRNA from 1 species